CCUCCGGGAGGCAGCAGUGGGGAAUAUUGCACAAUGGGCGCAAGCCUGAUGCAGCGACGCCGCGUGAGGGAUGAAGGCCUUCGGGUUGUAAACCUCUUUCAGCAGGGAAGCGGUACCUGCAGAAGAAGCGCCGGCUAACUACGUGCCAGCAGCCGCGGUAAUACGUAGGGCGCAAGCGUUGUCCGGAAUUAUUGGGCGUAAAGAGCUCGUAGGCGGUUUGUCGCGUCUGCUGUGAAAACUCGAGGCUCAACCUCGGGCUUGCAGUGGGUACGGGCAGACUAGAGUGCGGUAGGGGAGACUGGAAUUCCUGGUGUAGCGGUGGAAUGCGCAGAUAUCAGGAGGAACACCGAUGGCGAAGGCAGGUCUCUGGGCCGCACUGACGCUGAGGAGCGAAAGCAUGGGGAGCGAACAGGAUUAGAUACCCUUGUAGUC
rnacentral:rRNA from 1 species